rnacentral:rRNA from 1 species
CACGUAGGGUGCGAGCGUUGUCCGGAAUUAUUGGGCGUAAAGAGCUCGUAGGCGGUGUGUCGCGUCGGCCGUGAAAACCUGCAGCUUAACUGUGGGCUUGCGGUCGAUACGGGCAUCACUGGAGUUCGGCAGGGGAGACUGGAAUUCCUGGUGUAGCGGUGGAAUGCGCAGAUAUCAGGAGGAACACCAAUGGCGAAGGCAGAUCUCUGGGCCGUAACUGACGCUGAGGAGCGAAAGCAUGGGGAGCGAACAGG